AGAUCUGUGUUCUUAUGGCCCUGAAUCCUCAAAGGCUCUUCCUGUGAAGUGCAAACUCCAGAAAAUCCCACCAAGAUGGAAAAAAGUUUAAAGUAGAUUCAGUCAUGGGAUGUUUGUCUGUCAUCUGAGGACCAGGGCUAAUUUGGGAGAUGCUCACUUUCAAAAGAUGGGCACCUGCCUGAUGUGAUUCUUGGCCAUGGCACUCAUGAAGGCUAUCUCCAAAGGCAUGGAAGAGUUGCAAUUUAUAUCCAUGGAGGAAAUGAGGAAACUGAGUGACCAGCCCAUUUGAACGUAGGUCUUCUAGACCCCAGGCUCAGCUUUCUGUCUACUGUGCCACUUUACUGCCAAGAAUUCCCACUACAACAUUCCCAACUCACCUAUCAAGAUGACCACCCUUGCCCUAAUUGCUAUUUUGGAACUGUUGAACAACUUUCAAGACUUUAGGUCCUUUCUUGUGUCUUUGGAGGAUAUUAGUGAAGACUUCAAAAGAAGAGUAGUGUGUGCGUGGAUGAGAAAUGUUCCUCAAAAUGAGUGAGUAAAUUUUCAGUUGACCGCAUGGAAAUUAUUUUCCUAUCAUAUUUCCCAGUUCUGCUCUGCAUUUUUUCUGCAUCCAGCCUAAAAAAAAAAACCUAGAAUGUCCUCAGGACAGUCACUUCCAUUUCCAGUCAGGAAUGACAUCAUCCAUGGGGUAGGGAGGGAAAAAAGAAGUCAUGCUUUCCUUCUUCCAUCAUCUAAGUCAUAGACAAAAAUAUUAAGCAGUAUCGGAUUCAUAAAAUCUCUGCAGAACACCAUUUUGUAGAAUAGCCAAGGUUGUUUCAGAAUCGUGGCCUUGGAGGAUGAGCCUUCAACCAGUUGGUCCUUCUUCUUUUACAUAGUCUAGAUUAAUUUGUUAACUAUGCCUCCAUUAAAGUUCCUUUCUAGUGCCUCGUUAAGCAAUCUGGAGGCCCUUAUAUUCUCAAAAUUAAAGUCACUGAAGCACAACAUCUGGCAGGUCCUAACAAGCUAGAACCAUUUUCACUAUUGGCCCUAUGACUGUUUCCAUAUCUGUGUGUAUUUAUUUUGUAUAUAUUUUAUAUUUCUUUCCCUGCUUUGCAUGUUGUUCUCCUCACUAGAAUGUAAGCUUCUUGAGGGCAGGGACUUUUGUUUUUGUCAUUGUAUCCCCAGCCUUGCUGUGUCUUGCAAAUAAUAGAUGACUAAAACAGACUUUCUGAAUAGAAUUGCUAUUCAAGGAGUAGUCCAGUUAAGUGUAGAAAGACUCUUCACCAGUCUGGAUGGCCACCAGAGGAUGAAAUUUUUAACACCAUCAAUUUCUGAAACCAUCUACUUAGGUAUAGACUAUAUGUGACCUGCAUCAGUGGAAAGGAUAGGUCAUAAGAGAAUUUUAGUAUUGACUUUGUCACUACCAUUUCCUUAGUACAACAAGUCACAUGAUUAUCUAAAACUUGCGGAAUUUAACUGAG